CACUGGGGGACUCAAACCACAUCCAACCCAAGCAUUUCUGCCACAGCAAGUUCUGGGAAGUAGUAAGCCGAGGUGGAACAUUAGGAAAGCAGGGAAAAGCAGAGGAAAAAGUGAGAUGGAUCGUGUAAUGUGGAAAGCGAAUGCCGGGGGGUGCUGGGAGUUGCAGCAUGGAACAAGUUAAUCGUGUUUGUUGCUGGGGAGAAUUCCAGGAGGGGACCCGGCCGGGAGAAGCGCGGACACCCCCCAUCCCUCCACCCCGGGGGGGGGGGGGGGGGGGGGGGCACAAGCAUUUCUCGUUCAUCCCGUGUUGAAAUGGUUAAAAAAGACCUGCCCGCAGUGAGAUGCGGGAUUUCCACAAGUGGUUGACCCCGCAGGAUAGGGAAAAAAUAGGUAUAAAAGCGUUUUGGAGCAAGCUUCCUAAAUUAAAUGAUUUUUGAAUAUAUUUUUUCUUACAAAUAGCGAAAGAAACAA